rnacentral:rRNA from 1 species
GAUGAACGCUGGCGGCGUGCCUAAUACAUGCAAGUCGAGCGAAUGGAUUAAGAGCUUGCUCUUAUGAAGUUAGCGGCGGACGGGUGAGUAACACGUGGGUAACCUGCCCAUAAGACUGAGAUAACUCCGGGAAACCGGGGCUAAUACCGGAUAACAUUUUGAACCGCAUGGUUCGAAAUUGAAAGGCGGCUUCGGCUGUCACUUAUGGAUGGACCCGCGUCGCAUUAGCUAGUUGGUGAGGUAACGGCUCACCAAGGCAACGAUGCGUAGCCGCCCUGAGAGGGUGAGCGGCCACACAGGGAAUGAGACACGGCCCAGACUCCGACGGGAGGCAGCAGUAGGGAAUCUUCCGCAAUGGACGAAAGUCUGACGGAGCAACGCCGCGUGAGUGAUGAAGGCUUUCGGGUCGUAAAACUCUGUUGUUAGGGAAGAACAAGUGCUAGUUGAAUAAGCUGGCACCUUGACGGUACCUAACCAGAAAGCCACGGCUAACUACGUGCCAGCCGCCGCGGUAA